CAGGCCUAACACAUGCAAGUCGAACGGCAGCACAGUGGUAACAAUACCAUGGGUGGCGAGUGGCGGACGGGUGAGGAAUACAUCGGAAUCUACCUUUUCGUGGGGGAUAACGUACGGAAACUUACGCUAAUACCGCAUACGACCUUAGGGUGAAAGCGGAGGACCUUCGGGCUUCGCGCGGAUAGAUGAGCCGAUGUCGGAUUAGCUACUUGGCGGGGUAAAGGCCCACCAAGGCGACGAUCCGUAGCUGGUCUGAGAGGAUGAUCAGCCACACUGGAACUGAGACACGGUCCAGACUCCUACGGGAGGCAGCAGUGGGGAAUAUUGGACAAUGGGCGCAAGCCUGAUCCACCCAUGCCGCGUGGGUGAAGAAUGCCUUCGGGUUAAUCACUAGUGAAUUC
rnacentral:rRNA from 1 species